UCUUUAUCAGGUAAUUAAAAAUCGAAAAGAUAUAUACAUUCCUGGUAUAUAGUGAAAUUCGUAAUAUUUAGUUAUAAUCAAAAUUUUUAAAAUGAAACUUCAAAAAAUAAGUUAUAUUCUUGUUUUUUUAAUUAUUUUCACAUCAAUUUUAAUUAGUGAACUAAAAGGAAAUGAAGAGAUUCACAAAAAUAUUGAGAAGGAAAAAAAUAAUAUUGAUAAAAUAAAAAAUUUAACCGCCGAAUACGCAUACAAUGUAACAAUAAAAAAUGUUGCUUUUAUCAAAAUUUUUCAUUCCAAUGUUUUGUGUGGUGCAUUUAAUAAAAUUUCACUAAUCACAAAACUUUUUCAAUCACUUGGAAAGCAUAUUUCCACAUCGUUAAUGGUGAAUAAUUAUUUUAAAAAUACAUUCGAGGCAACGUCUUUGUCGGAAGCUGAAUAUUAUUUGGAAAAUGUGAAAGAAGAAUUUUUUGAUUUUAUCACUACCACAGAGAAUGAAAAUUUUACCAAUUGCAAGGAAAAUAAUAAUAAUCAAGAUGAAAUUAUUAUCCAUCAACAAAACUGUGAUAUUAAUGUGAAAUUUUCUCAUUUAUUAGUAAAUUGUUUUUUAAAAAUUAAUUCUAUUAUUUGUGAAUUAAAAAAAAAUUUGUCAAUUAAUGAAAAUAAUUUACAUAUUGAAAGUUUAUUAAUGGCAAUCAAUUCACGUUUUAUGAAUGAAUUAUAUAAUUCUUUGCAAAUUAUUUAUGAAAAAAAUUUUCAAAUCACUGAAAAUGAUUUGAAUUUAUUUAAAUUUAUUGAAAAAAAUUUGCAAUAUUUGGAAAAUGUUUUGACACAGAAAGAAAACCUAUCUGAGAAUAAAAAUAAUUUUCAAAAUGAAAAUUUCUCAUUUUCACCAAAAUUUUUAGUAUCCAACGAAAAAGAG